rnacentral:rRNA from 1 species
GACAGAGGAUGCAAGCGUUAUCCGGAAUGAUUGGGCGUAAAGCGUCUGUAGGUGGCUUUUCAAGUCCGCCGUCAAAUCCCAGGGCUCAACCCUGGACAGGCGGUGGAAACUACCAAGCUGGAGUACGGUAGGGGCAGAGGGAAUUUCCGGUGGAGCGGUGAAAUGCAUUGAGAUCGGAAAGAACACCAGUGGCGAAGGCGACACGCUGGGCCGUACCUGACACUGAUGCGCGACAGCAUGGGGAGCAAACAGG